rnacentral:rRNA from 1 species
UACGUAGGGUGCGAGCGUUAAUCGGAAUUACUGGGCGUAAAGCGUGCGUAGGCGGUUCGCUGUGUCCGAUGUGAAAGCCCCGGGCUUAACCUGGGAAUGGCAUUGGAAACUGGCGGGCUUGAGUGCGGCAGAGGGGGGUGGAAUUCCGCGUGUAGCAGUGAAAUGCGUAGAUAUCGGGAGGAACACCAAUGGCGAAAGCAGGUAACUGGACUAUUACUGACACUCAACUGCGAAAGCUAGGGGAGCAAACAGG